GAAGGCUCUCGGGUCGUAAACCCCUUUCAGCAGGGACGAAAAUGACGGUACCUGCAGAAGAAGCCCCGGCCAACUACGUGCCAGCAGCCGCGGUAACACGUAGGGGGCAAGCGUUGUCCGGAUUUAUUGGGCGUAAAGAGCUCGUAGGCGGUUCAGUAAGUCAGGUGUGAAAACCCAAGGCUCAACCUAGGGACGCCACUUGAUACUGCUGUGACUAGAGUCCGGUAGAGGAGAUUGGAAUUCCUGGUGUAGCGGUGAAAUGCGCAGAUAUCAGGAGGAACACCAACGGCGAAGGCAGAUCUCUGGGCCGGUACUGACGCUGAGGAGCGAAAGCGUGGGGAGCGAACAGGAUUAGAUACCCUGGUAGUCCACGCCGUAAACGUUGGGCACUAGGUGUGGGGUCUAUUCAACGGAUUCCGUGCCGUANCUAACGCAUUAAGUGCCCCGCCUGGGGGAGUACGGCCGCAAGGCUAAAACUCAAAGGAAUUGACGGGGGCCCGCACAAGCAGCGGA
rnacentral:rRNA from 1 species